rnacentral:rRNA from 1 species
GACGUAGGGCGCGAGCGUUGUCCGGAUUUAUUGGGCGUAAAGAGCUCGUAGGCGGCUUGUCGCGUCGUCCGUGAAAACUUGGGGCUCAACCCCAAGCUUGCGGUGGAUACGGGCGGGCUAGAGUUCGGUAGGGGAGACUGGAAUUCCUGGUGUAGCGGUGAAAUGCGCAGAUAUCAGGAGGAACACCGGUGGCGAAGGCGGGUCUCUGGGCCGAUACUGACGCUGAGGAGCGAAAGCGUGGGGAGCGAACAGG